GAUGAAGAACGUAGCGAAAUGCGAUAAGUAAUGCGAAUUGCAGAAUUCCAGUGAGUCAUCGAAUCUUUGAACGCACAUUGCGCCCUUUGGUAUUCCGAAGGGCAUGCCUGUUCGAGCGUCAUUAUCACCCCUCAAGCCCUCGGCUUGGUGUUGGACGGUUUGGUGGAGGCCCCCUCGGGGGCUCCUGCCCCUCCCAAAGACAAUGACGGCGGCCUCGUUGGACCCCCGGUACACUGAGUUCUUCACGGGACACGUAUCGGACACAUGGGUUUACGGGACACGGUCUGCCUCCCCUCAGGGAGAAUCUUUCUAAGGUUGACCUCGGAUCAGGUAGGGAUACCCGCUGAACUUAAGCGUAUCAAUAAGCGGAGGA
rnacentral:misc_RNA from 1 species